rnacentral:rRNA from 1 species
GAUGAACGCUGGCGGCGUGCCUAAUACAUGCAAGUCGAGCGAAUGGAUUAAGAGCUUGCUCUUAUGAAGUUAGCGGCGGACGGGUGAGUAACACGUGGGUAACCUGCCCAUAAGACUGGGAUAACUCCGGGAAACCGGGGCUAAUACCGGAUAUCAUUUUGAACCGCAUGGUUCGAAAUUGAAAGGCGGCUUCGGCUGUCACUUAUGGAUGGACCCGCGUCGCAUUAGCUAGUUGGUGAGGUAACGGCUCACCAAGGCAACGAUGCGUAGCCGACCUGGGAGGGUGAUCGGACACACUGGGACUGAGACACGGCCCAGACUCCUAAGGGAGGCAGCAGUAGGGAAUCUUCCGCAAUGGACGAAAGUCUGACGGAGCAACGCCGCGUGAGUGAUGAAGGCUUUCGGGUCGUAAAACUCUGUUGUUAGGGAAGAACAAGUGCUAGUUGAAUAAGCUGGCACCUUGACGGUACCUAACCAGAAAGCCACGGCUAACUACGUGCCAGCAGCCGCAGUAA